CCCACGUACGGCCGCGCUCCGCCGUCCUUCUUUGCUAAGAUGCGUGGGACACAGCACACGGCCGCGCCGGCCUCAAGGUCUCGCCGCUCGCGGAAGAAAGUCAUGCACAAGGCUCACGCGUUGAGCUGCGUCGCUGCAGGUGUUUCCAGCCCCUUUUCGUGUGCCGAACACUUUUCUUUGGAUUGCCCGCUCGGCAGGUGUCUGGCGCUACGGUGAUCAGGAUCAAAUCCUGCCCGGUGACACUGAGACGUCCGGCUUGAAAGUCAUAAAGCAGCAGCCACACGGCACGCUGCUCACUGCACUUGAGGCAUUGAGGGCUGCACCACGCGAUGGUUCAGGAUGGAAAGGGAGCGGCUCGCGUGUCAGUGAGCGAUUUCGGCGAUACCGUUGUGCUGUUAACUGCCGAUGUCGGGUCUUGUUCUCUUCGUCGCGCCACUCUCCGCAGCGGUGGAGCUGCCGGCCCAUGCUCAGCAGCGCCACGUCGCAUUCGAGUUUUACCUCACGUUCCUCAUGAUGGAAGCUCGAAAUCUCGAUGGGAUACCAGCGUCGCUUGCGGAAAAAAAAUGCGCACAGAAACAGCGAGCUGGACUGGCUUGCUGACAGCGAUGACCAGUGCGCAUUUUCUGCCCCGGGCACCAGUGGCCCAGUCGCAAAAGGUAUGAGUGCAGCCUUUCCCGGUGAGACAAAGUGUUAAGUGGGCGGCCUAAGUAUUCGCGCAGCCACUGUCUGCACGCAUUCCCGCGAACGCGCUCAUCGACGGUGCCGUGAGGUGUCUCAUCGACGCACAGGGAAAAGGCGGUGGCUGAGCCCAGUGAGACCUCACAAGACACAGAUGAGAGUCCAGGUCACUCGCGAAAAAAAAAAGAAAACGCUAAGUGCUCUAGUGGGCUCACGAUAUGAAGCGCCCUCGAGCAGCAGGUUCUCUGCUAGCGGUGAGUGAGAACAACACACGUGUGCGCCUGCCUCUAUGAGGGUGCCUCUACCGCGUGGCGUAGUUAGAGAUGGAGGCGCGUUGGCCGUCCCAGUCGCACGGCUGCUCGCCUAAUUCACCAAUCACGCAAAACGCAGUGAAAAAAAAAACGACAACUGCCAGGCAGUGGUGUUCCUUCCCUUCCUCUCCCCUUCUCUUCGUACUCAUGCAAAAGAAGUAGUGUUUUGUGCGAGAGCGGACUCAGUCGC
rnacentral:misc_RNA from 1 species